rnacentral:lncRNA from 1 species
AGAGGGGCUGGCAGCCGAAAGAGGAGCGGCCGCGUUCUGCUGAGCUGCCGAGGGAUCAGGCUUGCCGGAGGAGGAGCGCACAUGGCACUGCAUCUCCGAAGCCCCUGAACACCCAUGGAGGUGGUUUACCGUUGGAUCUGAGCAGCCACUCACUGGGCAGCACCUUAGCUGCUGUAUUCAUCAUGCUGAAGGAGGCUGUGGACAUCCUGCCCAGAAAGCAGGAUGUCCAGGAUCCUGCCUAACUUCACCUAGGAUGUGGUGGGAACUUGAAACCUGAGACUUCCAGAAGAUGCUGGCCACCAACUGGUGCCUCACACAGAAACCCCACAGGUCCUGCCAGCACUGGACCCUUGCUCUUUCUCCUGUAGCUUUGCCUUGGCUCAAGACCCAUCUGCACCAGUUCUCUGGUCUCUGAGAGCUCCUUUGGAGGCCUGGCUGUCCCUGUGCUCUGCAAGAGCAAACGAGAUGUGGGUCUUGUUGGGCCCCAACCAGGCCUGACCCCUCUGCAUGAGGGAGGAGACUGGAGUCUCUCCAUCCAAUUUAGGAAUUCUGUGAACAAA